rnacentral:rRNA from 1 species
AUUGAACGCUGGCGGCAGGCUUAACACAUGCAAGUCGAGCGGAGAUGAGGUGCUUGCACCUUAUCUUAGCGGCGGACGGGUGAGUAAUGCUUAGGAAUCUGCCUAUUAGUGGGGGACAACAUUCCGAAAGGAAUGCUAAUACCGCAUACGUCCUACGGGAGAAAGCAGGGGAUCUUCGGACCUCGCGCUAAUAGAUGAGCCUAAGUCGGAUUAGCUAGUUGGUGGGGUAAAGGCCUACCAAGGCGACGAUCUGUAGCGGGUCUGAGAGGAUGAUCCGCCACACUGGGACUGAGACACGGCCCAGACUCCUACGGGAGGCAGCAGUGGGGAAUAUUGGACAAUGGGGGAACCCUGAUCCAGCCAUGCCGCGUGUGAAGAAGGCCUUAUGGUUGUAAAGCACUUUAAGCGAGGAGGAGGCUACUGAGACUAAUACUCUUGGAUAGUGGACGUUACUCGCAGAAUAAGCGCCGGCUAACUCUGUGCCAGCCGCCGCCGUAACAC